GGGGGCGACCAGGAUUCGACCGGAUUUAGGAAGCGUGGGUUGCAGGAUGAGGUUGCCAGGAGGCCUCAUAAAACCCCUGGUACAUUUUAGUUGGCAAUAACCAACUUGCACUGGCUGCCUAAAGCGGCCCCCUCGCCAGAUUCCCUGCCCCUGGGAGUUUGACCGAGGGCCACCAAUAGGGGCUGGCUUCCGAUCCCCGUCUCCGGGUGAAGAAGCGAGAUUUAUGGAGACUGGCCGAUGCGUAUCCCGUUCUUUGGAGCCGCUGAAGCGAGAACCCAAAUAAAGAACUAUUCCUGUAGACGCUUACGUGGAUUGAUCUCGGGACGGGGGUUCGAUUCCCCCCGCCUCCACCA
rnacentral:tmRNA from 1 species